rnacentral:rRNA from 1 species
AGAGUUUGAUCCUGGCUCAGAUUGAACGCUGGCGGCAUGGCUAAAACAUGCAAGUCGAACGCGAAAGGGGCUUCGGCCCCGAGUAGAGUGGCGAACGGGCGAGUAAUACUUUGCUAACGUACCCCAAGGUCGGGGAUAGCGGCUGGAAACGGCCGGUAAUACCCGAUGACCCCCGCGGGCCGCAUGGCCUGCGGGGCAAAGGCUUGCUGCCUUGGGAUCGGGCAAAGCGCUAUCAGCUUGUUGGUGAGGUAACGGCUCACCAAGGCAAAGACGGCUAGCGGGUGUGAGAGCAUGACCCGCCGCAUCGGGACUGAGACACUGCCCGGACUCCUACGGGAGGCUGCAGUAACGAAUCUUCCGCAAUGCGCGAAAGCGUGACGGAGCAAUGCCGCGUGAAGGAUGAAGCCCCUCGGGGUGUAAACUUCUGUCAGGGUUUAGGAAUUCUGACCAAACCCAAAGGAAGGACCGGCUAACUUCGUGCCAGCAGCCGCGGUAAGACGAAGGGUCCAAGCGUUAAUCGGAAUCACUGGGCUUAAAGCGUGCGCAGGCGGGCCUGUAAGUACCUUGUGAAAUACCACCGCUCAACGGUGGAAUGGCAGGGUAUACUGCAGGCCUUGAGGCCGGUAGAGGUUGCCGGAACUGUAGGUGUAGCGGUGAAAUGCGUAGAUAUCUACAGGAACACCAAAGACGAAGGUAGGCAACUGGGCCGGUUCUGACGCUCAGGCACGAAAGCGUGGGGAGCAAACAGGAUUAGAUACCCUGGUAGUCCACGCCGUAAACGAUGUGCACUAGAUUCGAGAGGCUCUGACGCCAUUCGGGUCGAAGCAAAAGUGUUAAGUGCACCGCCUGGGGAGUACGGUCGCAAGGCUAAAACUCAAA